UUUUAACGGUUGAGGGAGCCUUUACCUUUACCCAAUUUUACACCCUGUUUUGCAGUGGAGGGACACGAAUCAAACGUGCCUAUAGUCGAGGGAGUCUAGAUGGACUUUUUCCUAAUAAUCUGGCGCGAAUCAUAAAUGGUGAGAACUCGGGUAGAUUGAGCCGCGCGCGGCGGCAGAAGGCAACGCGAAACCCUAAUCCCCAAAUUCGCUAUCUCUUGGCUCUGCCAUCGAAAUUCGAAACCCGCAUAGCUUUGGAGCAAGCCGAAUCUGCAACCAAUCCAUCAGAUUGGAGGGCGAGGCGCAGGGAAGGCGAUCGAUCGACCGAAGCCAUGCCCACCACCGCAGAGGAUCAGAAACAGUGGAAGGUGGUGGAAGUCCAGCGGAUCAAUGCGGAGUCCCAUCCCCCUCCUCGGCGUGACGAUAGGUGUGACGACCUCCGCAACGACGAGGAGUUCCAGCGUGUCAUGGACAACGUCGUCUUCGGCCGGGGUUAUGAUCCCACAAGAGAUGACCUCAGGAUCAGCACUGACCCUACUGCGAUGGUCGAGCUCAUAGAGUACUACCACAAGAUGGGUCUGAUAGAAGGUGAAUGGGUGGCUUAGAGCUUCUUGGAGGGGGUGGAUGGGGUGGAAUUGGAGGAUAAGACGGCGAUGGAUGAGAAGCCAGUGAUAGAGGAGGAUGAUCCACUGGUAGAGAAAGGGUUUUUCCUCCCGGUUAGUAACCCCCUAUACUUCCGGUUUUGCAAUCGGGAGUAGCAAUCCGGGACUAAAGAUACUCAUCUUUAGUCCCGGGUGAAAUAACCGGGACUAAAAAUGUAUCUUUAGUCCCGGUUCGUAUCACCAACCAGGAUUAAAAAUGGCGAUGGCAGCGCCAGUCCCGGUUAGCAACUGGGAUUAAAGAUGGCGAUGGCAGCGCCAGUCCUGGUUAGCCACUGUUUUUUUUCAUUAUUUUUUCCCAAAUCGAGUUGGAACUACACAAAUCUCUUCCCAAAUCAAGUUGCUCCCUUUAUCCCCAAAUCAAAAUCAAAGUAUCAUCACAAACAUAGAUUCACAUCAUAAAUUCUCAAGAAAAAAUACAUCAAGAAGAGUUGGAACUGCACAAAUCUCUUCCCAAAUCAAGUUGCUCCCUGUAUCCCCAAAUCAAAAUCAAAAAUAUCAUCACAAACAUAGAUUCACAUCACAAAUUCUCAAGAAAAAAUACAUCAAGAAAUACAUCAUGUUUGUACAUCACAUAAUGAAUCACAACUUCUAAAAAUUCUCAGAUCCAAUGAAUCACAACUUCUAAAAAAUUCUCAGAUCCAUCACAAAUUCUUAAAAAAAAAAUCAAGUUGCUGCCGGCCGGCAGCCGCGCGCCACGCUGCUGCCCGCCACCCGCUAGCGCGGCCACGCCGCCUCCCUCCCAUCCGCCGCCGCCCGCCCACCCUCCGCGCGGCCCGCCGUGCCAGCCGCCACCGCCCGGACUCGGCCGCCUGGAGAGGAUGAGGUAGGGAGGGGUAGGAGAGGUGAAGGGGGAGGAAGAAGGAGAGAGAUGGGAGACUUCUGAGAUGGAGAUCUCUAGAGAGGCCGGCUGUUAAUUUAAUGCAAAGAGGGGAGAGGAAGGGAGAGGGGGAUAAGAUCAAUGACGACGACUGUGGACUGAUACAGAGGCGGGCGGCUCGGGGUGAAGUUUAGUCCCGGUUAGUAUAAACAACCGGGAUUUUUAGUCCCAGUUAUUUAUACCAACCGGGACUAAAGAUAAUUGGGGCCCUGACUCGUCCUGACAAUUUUUUGAACCGGGAUUAAAAAUGAUCUUUAGUCCCGGUUCGAAUAGGAACCGGGAUUAUUGUGGAUUUUGGACGACCGACCAAAAAUGGUUUCUCUACCAGUGAUCCUGUAGUUGACUGCGAAGGUAGAGACGACGCCACCCCUGAUCGCGCUGAUGAGCAGGUGAAGAAACAGUGCUUGAUGAGCCUCGAGCUGGAUAUCAACCGUGACCAGGGUGCCUCAUCAACUCUUGAAGUUGCUCAAAGAGGACUGGCAAUUGGCACCUGAAUCUCCAGAUGGAUGUGAAAUUUGGUAAUGUCUAUAUCAAACCGUGACUCCUCGAGUCUAUCGUAUUAGCAUAAAAAUAUAUAUAUGUAGAGUAUAUAUAUCUUGUCUGGGAUGCUAAUUGAGAUCGAUGUUGAGAACCAUGUAUAAUCAAUCAUUAUAAAAAUAUAUGUAUGUGCUGUUGAAUGUA